CUCCUCCGUACAUCUAUAGAAAUUUGCAGGAGUCUCAUGUGACAGUCUGAAUGAUGGAAAACAAAGAGGUAAAAGGGCAGAUGUUGAACCUCUGGGCUCCUGGGUGGAGAGGGAAGAAAUAAAGGGCAGGGAUGUUACCUUGGACCUGACUUUGAUGUGAGCUGAAUGCCUACUGAGAUGCAGAGUGAAGAGAUUCCAGAAGGGUAAACACAGCAUAGCCAACGAGACUGGUUUUAAUGAAUGACUUAGAGGCAUAGUGAAGGAAUGUCAGAGUGCAAACCUCAGAUCGAUAAUAAUGAUGCUGUGAAGGUUUUGAAUACAGGAACAGAGUGGAAGAUCUUGUUGUGCAGAGCAGGCUUGGAGCUCCAGAAGAUUACAAGUACACAGAAGCACAAAACAAUGAAGGGAAUUAGCAUGUGGAUGAAAACAUUAAACUCAGAUAUUGAGGCCUGUGAGAGGCAUGUAGAUCCCAGCGGUGAGCAGGAGCUCGUGUGAGUCAAGCUUGUUGGACAAGUUAAGAUUUGCGAAUGGAUUAUGCCGGAGAGCUGGUCAGCAGAACAGUGGAAGUCAAUUAAUAGAACACAAAACACACAAAGAAGCUGUGCUGAAAACAAGAGAUGGGAAACAAAAGUGUUUUUGGGCAGGGGUUUCCAACCAGUUCCUGAUGAAGGACUCCAGUCUGAAAUGUCAACUGUUUACUCUUUUCCAUAGAUGCUACCUGACCUGCUGAGUUCCUCCAGCAUUUUCUUCAGACCAACAAAUGUAACCAACUAUGUCAUUGAUAAUAAAUCUGAUUCUGAUUCUGUCAUCUUUGGCACGUGGAAGGAAACUAGAGGAACCAAAGGAAAUCCAGAUGAUCAUAGAGAGAACAUGCAAACUCCACACAGACAGGGACCAAACCUGCUUCUCUGGAACUGGAAGACAGCAGCUCUACCACAUGCUGCGCUUCCCCCCGCCUCGAAAGUGACAGCUUCACAUUGAACACAGGAAGAAGCAAGACUUCCAUUCAGACUAGUUUAAUGUCCUGUAUAGCAGGGCACAAAUAAAACUCCUUGCUUGCAUGAAGCUCACAGGGUGAACAAUGGUAACAACAAAUACAACUAUAUCUACAAUGGUGACUGCAAAAUAUCAGAAUGAUGCGAAGUGCAGUUGUACUUAUAUCCAUUUGCAAGAUUUGCUUGUUUUUUGCAUUGGGGGAGAGGGGUAAUGUUCUUGUUGCCAUUGACACGUGGGGGUGUUGAUCUUUAUCUUUGAAUGGCUUCCAUGGUGUGGCUGUCUGGAGAAGAUGCACUGUACAAAGGAGUUGCAUACUGCAUACACACUUUGGUAGUGAAUGUACCUCUGAACCUUUGAGUAACGCAAGGAGAAAAUUUAUAACGAUAAUAUCGGAAGAGGUAGAAUUAGGGGUUCAAAGAUAUGUGAGAGAGGUGAUUGAUAGCCAUGGGGAAGAAGCUGAACAUCUGAGCUCUCAAGCUCCUGUAUCUUCUCCCAGAAGGUAUAAGACAGAAAAGGGGGAUGGGCUGGAUGACAGGCACCCUCGAUGAUACAAAUUAGCCUCUCAGAGUCGACGCAUGUUGAAGAAGGACUGGAUUGGAGGAAGUGAUGAGCAUUACAAUAAAUCUAGGCAGCAUGGAGUAAAUGAGGUGCUUGAGGAAUAUAAAGAAUGUAAGAAGAAUCUUAAGAAAGAAAUUAGAAAAGCUAAAAGAAGAUACUAGGUUGCUUUGGCAAGUAAGGUGAGAAUAAAUCUGAAGGGUUUCUACGGUUAUAUUAAUAGCAAAAGGAUAGUGAGGGAUAAAAGUGGUCCCUUAGAGAAUCAGAGUGGACAGCUAUGUGUGGAGCCAAAAGAGGUGGGGGAGGUUUUGAACAAUUUCUUUUCUUCGAUAUUCACUAAGAAGAAGGAUAUUGAAUUGUGUAUGGUAAGGGAAACGAGUAGGGAAGUUAUGGAAACUAUGACAAUUAAAGAGGAGGAAGUACUGAUGCUUUUAAGGAAUUUAAAAGAAGAUAAAUCUCUGGAUCCUGACAGGAUAUUCCCCAGGACCUUGAGGGAGGUUAGUGUAAAAAUAGCAGGUGCUCUGACAGAAAUAUUUCAAAUGUCAUUAGAAAUGGGGAUGGUGCCAGAGGAUUGGUGUAUUGCUCAUGUGGUUCCAUUGUUUAAAAAGGGUUCUAAGAGUAAACCUAGCAAUUAUAGGCCUGUCAGUUUGACGUCAGUGGUGGAUAAAUUAAUGGAAAGUAUUCUUAGAGAUGGUAUAUAUAAUUAUCUGGAUAGACAGGGUCUGAUUAGGAACAGUUAACAUGGAUUUGUGCGUGAAAGGUCAUGUUUGACAAAUCUUAUUGAAUUUUUUGAAGAGGUUACUAGGAAAGUCGACGAGGGUAAAGCAGUGGAUGUUGUCUAUAUGGACUUCAGUAAGGCCUUUGAUAAGGUUCUGCACGGAAGAUUAGUUAGGAAGGUUCAAUCGUUAGGUAUUAAUAUUGAAGUAGCAAAAUGGAUUCAGCAGUGGCUGGAUGGGAGAUGCCAGAGAGUAGUGGUGGAUAACUGUUUGUCAGGUUGGAGGCCAGUGACUAGUGAUGUGCCUCAGGGAUCUGUACUGGGUCCAAUGUUGUUUGUCAUAUACAUUAAUGAUCUGGAUGAUGGGGUGGUAAAUUGGAUUAGUAAGUAUGCAGAUGAUACUAAUGUAGGUGGUUUUGUGGAGAAUGAAGUAGGUUUUUAAAGUUUGCAGAGAGAUUUAAGCCAGUUAGAAGAGUGGGCUGAACGAUGAUAGAUGGAGUUUAAUGCUGAUAAGUGUGAGGUGCUACAUUUUGGUAGGAAUAAUCCAAAUAGGACAUACAUGGUAAAUGGUAGGGCAUUGAAGAAUGCAGUAGAACAGAGUGAUUUAGGAAUAAUGGUGCAUAGUUCCCUGAAGGUGGAAUCUCAUGUGGAUAGGGUGGUGAAGAAAGCUUUUGGUAUGUUGGCCUUUAUAAAUCAGAGCAUUGAGUAUGGGAGUUGGGAUGUAAUGUUAAAAUUGUACAAGGCAUUGGUAAGGCUGAAUUUGGAGUAUUGUGUACAGUUCUGGUCACCAAAUUAUAGGAAAGAUGUCAACAAAAUAGAGAGAGUACAGAGAAGAUUUACUAGAAUGUUACCUGCAUUUCAGCACCUAAGUUACAAGGAAAGAUUGAACAAGUUAGGCCUUUAUUCUUUGAAGUGUAGAACGUUGAGGGGGGACUUGAUAGAGGUACUUAAAAUUAUGAGGGGGAUAGAUAGAGUUGACGUGGAUAGGCUUUUUCCAUUGAGAGUAGGGGAGAUUCAAACAAGAGGACAUGAGUUGAGAGUUAGGAGGCAAAAGUUUAAGGGUAACACGAGGGAGAAUUUCUUUACUCAGAGAAUGGUAGCUGUGUGGAAUGAGCUUCCAGUAGAAGUGGUAGAGGCAGGUUUGGUAUUGUCAUUUAAAGUAAAAUUGGAUAGGUAUAUGGACAGGCAAGGAAUGGAGGGUUAUGGGCUGAGUGCAGGUUAGUGGGACUAGGUGAGAUUAAGUGUUCGGCACGGACUAGAAGUGCCGAGAUGUCCUGUUUCCGUGCUGUAAUUGUUGUAUAGUUAUAUAGGGUCAAAGAUCAUCACAGAAAUGAAGGCUAUAUUUGAGACAUCAGGAUACAGAAAACUGGAACAAGGAAGAUCAAACCACAACACAAGAGGAAAAGGAGAAACAAAUGAGAAGUUGGUCAUAGUCCGAGCAAAUUAAGUUGCAGCGAUCAGUAUAAGAUUAAAGUAUCAGGAUGAAUAAUAUUAGAUUCCCCAGGUUUGCUCAAAGAUAAUAAGGAAUGUGAUCAUGCAGAA